GACGAACGCUGGCGGCGCGCUUAAUACAUGCAAGUCGAGCGAGAACCGGAGCUUCGGCUCCGGGGACAGCGGCGAACGGGUGAGUAAUGCAUCGGAACGUGCCCAGUCGUGGGGGAUAACGCAGCGAAAGCUGCGCUAAUACCGCAUACGAUCUAUGGAUGAAAGCGGGGGACCGUAAGGCCUUGCGCGAUUGGAGCGGCCGAUGUCAGAUUAGGUAGUUGGUGGGGUAAAGGCUCACCAAGCCAACGAUCUGUAGCUGGUCUGAGAGGACGACCAGCCACACUGGGACUGAGACACGGCCCAGACUCCUACGGGAGGCAGCAGUGGGGAAUUUUGGACAAUGGGCGCAAGCCUGAUCCAGCAAUGCCGCGUGCAGGAAGAAGGCCUUCGGGUUGUAAACUGCUUUUGUACGGAACGAAACGGUCCUGGUUAAUACCCGGGGCUAAUGACGGUACCGUAAGAAUAAGCACCGGCUAACUACGUGCCAGCCGCCGCGGUAAUAC
rnacentral:rRNA from 1 species